rnacentral:lncRNA from 1 species
UGAGAUGUCGAGUGGGAUUGACCUUUAAGACUCCUAUAUGGGAGGACAUGAUUCAAUUCCCAAAGACGCCACCUUUUUAGCAUGAAAUCAAUAGUGUGUAAAUGGGUUAUCCCUAUAGCUUGAGUCCACCAUAUAGAGAGCAUGUUUGGCUGGACUUAUCUUAAAAAUAAAUACCCAUCCUAUGGCUAAAAGAUAAGCAUCAAAUUCCAGCCAAACAUGCUCAGAAACUUUAGGGUGAGGG